CCUACUACAGCUGUUGUGCCAAUACAGAUUCUUGUCUGAUCCCACAAUAUGUCAGUUUAGGGAGUUAAACCAGCGUAAAACUAUUUAUGGUUAACUUGCAUGGUUAUUUUUUCUCCUGGUUAAUGUUCUCAUAUUGAGUUAUCCUUUGAAUUCAUUUCAGCCUGCACCCUGCCAAGAAAAAAAUGCAGAGAAAAGCAGUGUAGGAAAGGAGGAGGAGGUGGCCAGUCACAGGUGGGUUUCUGCAGAACAAACAGAGACUGACAGAAAAAUGGAUGCUGUGAUAGACUGUGCUAGAAGUCUUGCUGACAUCAGGAUAAAAGACAUCCAUUGCUUUCCACUGUUCUGCAGACCCAGUCACUUCAUCGAGGA